AAGUCGUAACAAGGUUUCCGUAGGUGAACCUGCGGAAGGAUCAUUAUCGAGUUAGGGUCUCUACGGCCCGAUCUCCCAACCCUUGUGUUAAAACAUUCCAUGUUGCUUCGGCAGGCCCGUCUCACGACCGCCGGACUCUGUCACAGAGCCCGGCCUGUGCCUGUCGGUAGCCCAACUUACAAAAUUCUUGAUAAACUGUGUCGUCUGAGUUUACAAACAAAAUAAAAACAAAACUUUCAACAACGGAUCUCUUGGUUCUGGCAUCGAUGAAGAACGCAGCGAAAUGCGAUAAGUAAUGCGAAUUGCAGAAUUUCCGUGAGUCAUCGAAUCUUUGAACGCACAUUGCGCCCACUGGUAUUCCGGUGGGCAUGCCUGUUCGAGCGUCAUUAUCAACCCUCAAGCCUGGCUUGGUGUUGGAUCAGAGCCCUCCCCUGGCGGCGGGCUCGGUCCCAAAGACAAUGACGGCGUCUGUUGGACCCUCGGUGCAAUGAGCUUUAACCAGCACGCACUUGAGUUAAAGGUUCCUCCAGCCCGGUCUCCUUUAUUACUUUUACAAGGUUGACCUCGGAUCAGGUAGGGAUACCCGCUGAACUUAA
rnacentral:rRNA from 1 species